rnacentral:rRNA from 1 species
UACGUAUGGGGCGAGCGAUGUUCGAAUUUACUGGGCGUAAAGGGCUUGUAGGUGGUGAGAUAAGUCGGAUGUGAAAUCCCCGGGCUCAACCCGGGAACUGCAUUCGAAACUAUCCCGCUAGAGUACCGGAGAGGGAAACGGAAUUCCUGGUGUAGGGGUGAAAUCUGUAGAUAUCAGUAAGAACACCGGUGGCUAAUGCGGUUUCCUGGCCGGAUACUGACACUGAUGAGUGAAUGCUAGGGGAGCAAACAGG